AUGCUCUCGAGACACAUGCCUGGAGGUGCCCAUGGGAUCCUCUCGCUGCUGACCGUGGCGUUCGUCCUCCCGGAGGUGUCCGGGCUCCAGUGCUACGGCUGCAACAUCAUCGUUGGCACCAAGUACGUGGACAUGGGGUGCUCGAACCCCGAAGUGAUCACCUGCUCCCACUCCCACCAGGGCUUCAAACACCGGUUCUGCAUUAAGACAGAGAGCGUGGUCCUGGGCAGCCUGCUGACCAGCGGCUGUGCCACCUCCCGUCACUGCCAGCAGCAGGAGCUGCCGGGGGUCCGCAUCCACUGCUGCGACACCGAUCUCUGCAACGGCUCCCCCCGGCCGCCCCCCGGCCUCGACGGCGGCUGCCUCCUGCUGCCCUGCCUCCUGGCAGCCCUGCUCCUUUCCUGAGCCCCCCGCAGGGCCUGGGGUGGGGGUGUCUGAGCUUUGGAGGGGGCAGGAGGGGACGUGCGGCCAUCCCUGCCCCUGCAGCGGUGAACAAAGCCCUCCUCGCCCCUCUCCUCAAUAAAAGCCGAUGAAUGUUUUGCCCUGGAGAGGCC
rnacentral:lncRNA from 1 species